rnacentral:rRNA from 1 species
GACAGAGGCAUCGAGCGUUAGGCGGAAUCACUGGGCUUAAAGCGUGUGUAGGCGGGCCCGUAAGUGUCUUGUGAAAUCCCACGGCUCAACCGUGGAACUGCUGGGCAUACUGCGGGUCUUGGGCCAACUAGGGGCAGCCGGAACAAGCGGUGGAGCGGUGAAAUGCGUAGAUAUCGCUUGGAACGCCGAAGGUGAAAACAGGCUGCUGGGGUUGCGCCGACGCUGAGACACGAAAGCCAGGGGAGCAAACGGG